rnacentral:rRNA from 1 species
AGUGGCAGACGGGUGAGUAACAUGUGGGUAUCUACCCUUUGGCCUGGAAUAACACGAGGAAACUUGUGCUAAUACCGGAUAAGUCUUUACGGAGAAAGCUUUAUGCACCAUUGGAUGAGCCCGCACUUGAUUAGUUUGUUGGUAGGGUAAUGGCCUACCAAGACUAUGAUCAAUAGCUGAUUUGAGAGGAUGAUCAGCCACAUUGGGACUGAGACACGGCCCAAACUCCUACGGGAGGCAGCAGUGGGGAAUCUUGCACAAUGGAGGAAACUCUGAUGCAGCGAUGCCGCGUGAGUGAAGAAGGCCUUUGGGUUGUAAAGCUCUUUCGUCGGGGAAGAAAAUGACUGUACCCGAAUAAGAAGGUCCGGCUAACUUCGUGCCAGCAGCCGCGGUAAUACGAAGGGACCUAGCGUAGUUCGGAAUUACUGGGCUUAAAGAGUUCGUAGGUGGUUGAAAAAGUUGGUGGUGAAAUCCCAGAGCUUAACUCUGGAACUGCCAUCAAAACUUUUCAGCUAGAGUAUGAUAGAGGAAAGCAGAAUUUCUAGUGUAGAGGUGAAAUUCGUAGAUAUUAGAAAGAAUACCAAUUGCGAAUGCAGCUUUCUGGAUCAUUACUGACACUGAGGACGAAAGCAUGGGUAGCGAGAGGAUUAGAUACCCUCGUAGUUCAUGCGUA